rnacentral:rRNA from 1 species
CCUACGGGGUGCAGCAGUGAGGAAUAUUGGGCAAUGGAGGCAACUCUGACCCAGCCAUGCCGCGUGAGUGAAGAAGGUUUUCGGAUUGUAAAGCUCUUUCGGCUGUGACGAUGAUGACGGUAGCAUCUAAAGAAGCCCCGGCUAACUUCGUGCCAGCAGCCGCGGUAAUACGAAGGGGGCAAGCGUUAUCCGGAUUUACUGGGUGUAAGGGAGCGUAGACGGCAGCACAAGUCUGGAGUGAAAUCCCGGGGCUUAACCCCGGAACUGCUUUGGAAACUGUGCGGCUGGAGUGCAGGAGGGGUAAGCGGAAUUCCGAGUGUAGCGGUGAAAUGCGUAGAUAUGAGGAGGAACACCGGUGGCGAAGGCGGCUUACUGGACUGUAACUGACGUUGAGGCUCGAAAGCGUGGGGAGCAAACAGGAUUAGAUACCCCUGUAGUC